rnacentral:rRNA from 1 species
GGGGGGGGGGGGGGGGGGGGGGGGGGGGUGCGGGUCGGGCGGCGGGGCGGGCUGGGGGCGGGCGGCGGGGGGCGGACGGGUGGGUGGUGCAUCGGAGCAGGCCCCGGCGUGGGGGGUAGCACUUCGACAGAAGUGCUCAUACCGCAUGCGUCCUGAGGGGGAAAGCGGGGUGUCGCAAGGCCUCGCGCGAUUGGAGUGGCCGAUGUCAGAUGAGCUAGUUGGUGGGGUAAAGGCCUACCAAGGCGACGAUCUGUAGCUGGUCUGAGAGGAUGAUCAGCCACACGGGGACUGAGACACGGCCCAGACUCCUACGGGAGGCAGCAGUGGGGAAUUUUGGACAAUGGGGGCAACCCUGAUCCAGCCAUUCCGCGUGAGUGAAGAAGGCCUUCGGGUUGUAAAGCUCUUUCGGCAGGAACGAAACGGUGGGCUCUAACAUAGUCCGCUAAUGACGGUACCUGAAGAAGAAGCACCGGCUAACUACGUG